GGGGCUCUUGUUCCCCUAACCCACUGAAAUCAGCGUUCCAGAGGCCGAGGUGGCCCCACCACAGCUUCUGUCCGGUGGUGACCAGCACUGAUCCCUGGAGCCAAGGGAGGACCCGGGACACCUGGGAGCUGGGAAAUGUUUUCCAUGGCUCUGAGACAAUGACACCGCUUCAGUGUGAACUCUCAUGAAUUGAGUCUAGAUUCCCAGUGCUGUCCGUUUCACCUGUCUUCCUCUACACAUAUCUGGGAUAUGUCACGGCUUGGUGGUCUUUGAAGACGUGGCUGUGAACUUCAUCCAGAAGGAGUGGGCUUUGCUGGAUUUUUCUGUGAAGAAUCUGUAGAGAUGUGAUGAGGGAAGCCAUCAGCACCUGGCUUCUAUAGCUGCAGUCCAAGAGGCCAACCAGAACAUCAACAUCAGACACUAAUCCAGCUGACUGGACACAAUUGGGAAAACUGGUUAUUUUACCAAGGCUUUGACUGGAAUGGUGUGCCUUCCUUUAAGGAAUCACAUCUGACUUAUGGAGCCAAUAAAGCCCUGGGAAAGCUGGCCUCAGAUUUGGUGUACAGUCCCUGUACAGGGUUUCUGAUCUGUGGUAAGUAAAGAAUGUCACUUUCUGACAGGCCAGGAGUCCCAAGUUAUCUUGGAACCUCAAGAAGAGAGGAAUUCUCCCAACUCAUAGGUAUUCAAUGGUACAAAUCCAUGGCUGGGCUUGCCUUUAAAAAGGUCUUAUCUCAGAUUCCUUCUACAAAACAAAGUUCCAUCAAAGCCAAUUUAAAGGACCUAAGUAACAAAUAAUUAUUCUUGC
rnacentral:sRNA from 1 species